rnacentral:rRNA from 1 species
UACAGAGGUGGCAAGCGUUGUUCGGAUUUACGUGGUGUAAGGGUACGUAGGCGGAAUAGUAAGUCAGUGGUGAAAGCCUGCAGCUUAACUGUAGAAUUGCCAUUGAUACUGCUAAUCUUGAGUACAUAUGAAGUGGGCGGAAUGUGUCAUGUAGCGGUGAAAUGCUUAGAUAUGACACAGAACACCGAUUGCGAAGGCAGCUCACUAAACUGUAACUGACGCUGAGGCACGAAAGCAUGGGGAGCAAACAGG